rnacentral:rRNA from 1 species
UACGUAGGGUGCAAGCGUUGUCCGGAAUUAUUGGGCGUAAAGAGCUCGUAGGCGGUCUGUCGCGUCGGCUGUGAAAUCCCGGGGCUCAACCCCGGGCCUGCAGUCGAUACGGGCAGACUAGAGUGCGGUAGGGGAGACUGGAAUUCCUGGUGUAGCGGUGAAAUGCGCAGAUAUCAGGAGGAACACCGGUGGCGAAGGCGGGUCUCUGGGCCGUAACUGACGCUCAUGCACGACAGCGUGGGGAUAAAACAGG